CGGAGUGUGGCGCAGGUGGCAGCGCGCAUGCUUUGGGAGCAUGAUGUCGGAGGUUCGAGUCCUCUCACUCCGACCA
rnacentral:tRNA from 1 species